UCUCCCAUUUCUUCUGUCCCAGCCCUCCGCUUCUUUGUGCCUCCUCACUUCCUCAUCCUCACAUUCACGGAUUUAAUCCCUCAAUCUCUCAGUCCCUAGGCCGAUCUGCAGUCUUGCAUCUGCGUCUCAGUCCCUUGCCUCACCGGAGUCACCGCCGCCACUCACCACAUCGACCUCACGCUAAAGCUUCAAGCAGUCGAUCACGCACUCCGAGAUCCAUCGUCGGCCGCCAGUUCAGGCUCCAACCGUCCCCAGCCGAUCAAGCCACCGCCUCUCCUCACACACUUCAAAUUCAACGGCUACAGUUGCUUGUUCUUGAAAUAUUCAUUUUGAUUUCAAUUUUCACAAUUUUUCAUUUAUUCAAUUGUUUGCCUCUCCUCAGCUUUAGCUUCGUUUCUAAUUGUCAAUGGAAGCAGUGUCAUUUAUUCAUUUUAGGUUACUGAUUUACUCCGCCGUUGCUUGCUCAGACAACCGCCGCCGCUUUGCCCACCGUUGCUACACUGCGAACUCCAGCAUGCCCUUAGACAAACCUCUAGCUUGUUACCGAGAGAAACUGCAGUAGUGGCUUCAAGGUGAAACUGCAUAUGAACUUUCUGUGCAGGGCAUGUACAAUGGAGCAGGGACUAUGAAACAACGAACUAUCAAAAGUUUUUUCAGAAUUGUUCUCAACAUCUCUGAGCCAUUCUUUCCUAAUGAUGAACCCGGAGAGUUAGCCAUCUUGAGAAUUGUUAGGGCUUAUUUAUAGUGUUGUGUAGUAUUAGAGAAGUCUAUGUAUAUUAAAUGUUAGUCUUGAAAAUUGUAUAAGUCAUUUCAAAUUUAAAUUUAUUGUCUUGUAAUUAUGGUUUAAGUAUACGAAGAGGCAACUUGAAUCCGAUUGUAAACAAAAAAUCGGAUAUUCAAA